GGUGGAGCAUUGCGUGAAGCGUCUGCGUGUCUGCGAGAUCUUGCUGUGGGCCAGGUAUCCAUUCUCCUGCGGCAGCUUAGACCCUACGGAGACUAGAGGUCCGUGGGUGGUGGAGGAUCCUUUGCGUAGCAAAAAAAGAAGGCGAGUGCCCCUGCAUCCUCUCCAGACGGUACCCAGGGUCUCGCUUUUCAGCUCUGGCUGUUCUGGACCUCACUGAGAUCCCCAUCUGCCUACAAAGUGCUGGGAUUAAAGAACAUCCACCAUUAUUAGAACCAUCACCCUGCAGCUAGCUUGGACAUCCUUAAAAGGGCUCAUCAGAAGUAUCUGAUAUUCAUGAAGACAGAGUUUCAGGGUUUCUGCCUGGAGCUACACCCUCCAGGAGCCCCUGCUUGGCUUCC
rnacentral:lncRNA from 1 species